CCUACGGGAGGCAGCAGUAGGGAAUAUUGCUCAAUGGGGGAAACCCUGAAGCAGCAACGCCGCGUGGAGGAUGAAGGUUUUCGGAUUGUAAACUCCUUUUGUUAGAGAAGAUAAUGACGGUAUCUAACGAAUAAGCACCGGCCAACUCCGUGCGCGCAGCCGCGGUAAUACGGAGGGUGCAAGCGGUACUGGGUAUCACUGGGCGUAAAGAGCGCGUAGGCGGGAUCGCAAGUCAGAUGUGACAUCCUAUGUCUUAAGCAGAGAACUGCAUUUGAAACUGUUAUUCUAGAGUAUGGGAGGGGUAGGUGGAAUGCGUGGUGUAGGGGUAAAAGCCAUAGAGAUCAAGAGGAAUACUCAUUGCGAAGGCGACCUGCUAGAACAUAACUGACGCUGAUGCGCGAAAGCGUGGGGAGCAAACAGGAUUAGAUACCCCAGUAGUC
rnacentral:rRNA from 1 species